UACGUAGGUGGCAAGCGUUAUCCGGAAUUAUUGGGCGUAAAGCGCGCGUAGGCGGUUUUUUAAGUCUGAUGUGAAAGCCCACGGCUCAACCGUGGAGGGUCAUUGGAAACUGGGAGACUUGAGUGCAGAAGAGGAAAGUGGAAUUCCAUGUGUAGCGGUGAAAUGCGUAGAGAUAUGGAGGAACACCAGUGGCGAAGGCGACUUUCUGGUCUGUAACUGACACUGAGGCGCGAAAGCGCGGGGAGCAAACAGGAUUAGAAACCCGCGUAGUCC
rnacentral:rRNA from 1 species